ACAGCCGCCGCGGUAAGACGUAGGAGGCGAGCGUUAUCCGGAUUUACUGGGCGUAAAGGGCAAGUAGGCGGUAUACCAAGUCAGUUGUGACAGAUCCCGGCUCAACUGGGAGCGGACGAUUGAGACUGGUAAGCUAGAGGACAGGAGAGGGGAGCGGAAUUCCUUGUGUAGCGGUGGAAUGCUCAGAUACAAGGAGGAACACCAGUGGCGAAGGCGGCUCUCUGGCCUGCUCCUGACGCUGAAGAGCGAAAGCUAGGGGAGCGAACGGGCUUAGAUACCCCGGUAGUCCUAGCUGUAAACGUUGGGUACUAGGUAUUGGGGGUGAGAACACUUUCAGUGCCGAAGCGAACGCGUUAAGUACCCCGCCUGGGGACUACGGCCGCAAGGUUAAAACUCAAAGGAAUUGACGGGGGCCCGCACA
rnacentral:rRNA from 1 species